rnacentral:rRNA from 1 species
AUUGAACGCUGGCGGCAGGCCUAACACAUGCAAGUCGAGCGAACCUAGCUUGCUAGGUGAGCGGCGAACGGGUGAGUAACACGUAGGAAUCUGCCCGAUAGUGGGGGACAACAUUCCGAAAGGAAUGCUAAUACCGCAUACGCCCUACGGGGGAAAGCAGGGGAUCUUCGGACCUUGCGCUGAUAGAUGAGCCUAAGUCGGAUUAGCUAGUUGGUGGGGUAAAGGCCUACCAAGGCGACGAUCUGUAGCGGGUCUGAGAGGAUGAUCCGCCACACUGGGACUGAGACACGGCCCAGACUCCUACGGGAGGCAGCAGUGGGGAAUAUUGGACAAUGGGCGGAAGCCUGAUCCAGCCAUGCCGCGUGUGUGAAGAAGGCCUUUUGGUUGCAAAGCACUUUAAGCGAGGAGGAGGCUACCUGGAUUAAUACUCUAGGAUAGUGGACGUUACUCGCAGAAUAAGCACCGGCUAACUCUGUGCCAGCCGCCGCGGUAACAC